GGGCGGGUGGCGGAAUGGCAGACGCGUACGGCUUAGGACCGUAUGCCGCAAGGCGUGUGGGUUCGACUCCCUCCCCGCCCA
rnacentral:tRNA from 1 species